UCACGGAGCUAUGAGACCAUGACCUGAGCCGAAGUUGGAUGCUCAACCGACUGAGCCACCCAGAUUUAAGAAAAAUGUUCAUCUUAAGCUAACUGAUUUACAGCAAUUAGAUAAAAUAUACCUUUGUGGACAAAUGGAAACAUUUCUUUUCUCUCUACCUGAACCCUCCAGAAUUCAGAAAGUCUCAUUUACUGAAGCCCCAGUCAGCGGAUGGGCUCCAGCAGCAAUAGUCAGAUUCCCCAGACUGGGGAAGGGCCUCUGCAUUAGCACCCCUGACAACACCAAAAGCUGCAUGUGUUGGUUAGAUAGCUCUGAUUAGGAUUCUCACUGGAAUACUCCGCCGUUAGUGUGCAUGUGGUAUCCAGGGACCUAAGAGUCUAUCCACCAUGAGCAUUUGUAUGUUACAGUGAAUGCCAAAUUGGGAGAAGAAUCAAAAGAAUCUGUUGCUGAUGAAGAAGACAGUGAUGAGGACACUGAACCUAUUGCUGAAUUUAGAUUUGUGCCUCAUGAUAAACCGGGUUGGAGGCAGCGUUCACUGCAAUGUGUGAAUGCAGGCUUCGUGUCCAGAUCCUGAGGAUGAAGAUUCAGAUGAUUAUGAGGAAGAAUAUAAUGUAGAAGCACAUGAGCAAGGGCAGGGGACAUCCCUACAUUUUAUAUCUAUGAAGGAGGAUUAUCCCAGGAGCACCCGGUGGCUCAGUCAGUUGGGCGUCCGACUUCGGCUCAGGUCAUGAUCUCACAGUUUGUGAGUUCGAGCCCCAAGUCGGGCUCUGUGCUGACAGUUCAGAGCCUGGAGCCUGCUUCGGAUUCUGUGUCUCUCCCUCUCUCUGCUCAUGCUCAUGCUCUGUCUCUCUCUGUCUCUCAAUAAUAAAUAAAUAUGUGUUUAAAAAAAAAAAAGCUUAUUCCAUAUAACAGCAGAAGGCCAAGCUACAUUGGAGAGAUUAGAAGGAAGUCUUUCUCAGUCUGUGCAGCCCAUAUAACAUGGCUGGAGCAUGGACAGAAGAUUCAAUAAGAGAUUAUAAAGAUGGGAUGGAGGUAGAUACUACACCGACAGUUGUUGGCCUGUUUGGAGAUGCAAAUACUCACCACUGAAAAUGAUUUAUGCUGCUUUGGAAUUGUCAUAAAUAUAGAAGAAACCUUGGUGCCUCUUCCACUGUGGAGUGGAUGUUGAUGAAAGUCUUUUUCCUUCUCUAAAACUUACCUGAACCCAUCUUUUUUUUUUUUUUUGAAACAGACCAUACUGAGACAACAAGUUGUCACCAGCAGAAGAAACUAUGAUCUUUAUUUUAAAAGGUGCAUUAAUUUAACCAAGAGGGUAUUUGUAGAUUUCCAUUUACCACCCCCCCCAAACUUUCUGUAUAUGGGGACCCUCUGUUCAGGCCUGUAGUUCCUGCCUUCACUAUAAGCUUGCAGGUGCUUGAAGGUACAGGAACACUGGAGGAAAAGGGGAGGGGCUGAGUCUAAAUUCUACCCCUUGAGGGGCUAAAAAUACCUAAGACACCUUUAAAAAGAAAGAGAUCUCCGAGAAAUCCUGGCAUUUGCUCAUUCUCCACAGGGGCAAGUGUCUUUUUACUAACUUGGGACCAAGAUUAAUUCACUCACAUAUCUUUAGGGAGCCUGUUGGGAAACAUCCUAGCCACACAUAUAACUACUAACACAAGUACUUCUGACUAGUUUUACUCCUUCCACCAUGUUUCACCAAUCUGUUCCUUUAUAACCUCUUGGGUUAUAUCCUUGAAUUUCUAAUGUCUUAGGUCAGUUUCUGUAACAGAACAAGUGAAAUCGAGAUGAAGUCCUCAAAGUACUUCAGAUGAUAACUGUUUUUUAUCUUUGUAAUCAUUUAACAAAAAAAAAUUUAGGUUUUCUCCCAAAAAAAAAAAUUUUAAUUGGGGAUCUUGUUCAGAAUAAGAGUUAUUACCAGAGAUACAUGUUAUCUGAGUGAUCCAUCUGUGUAGCAAGGCAAACAUCUAAUUUCCAAACCUUUGUUCUUCUUAUUGGCCUGUGAAUUGCCCUCACUUUUGAAUCCCUAGGUCCCUCUCCCAUUCCUUUGCUUAGGGUGGCAUGUACCUCAUUUUACCUUUCUGUCUUUGAAUCUCUCAUGUGUGUAGGGUUCCUGUACAUACAAAAUUAAGUUAGAUUUUCUCCAGUUAAUAUGUCUCCUGUCAAUUUCAUUCUUAAACCAGCCAGAAGAACCUUUAAAGGGUGAAGGAAAAAUUUUUCUUUUCAACCGUGUUGGCAAGGGAGCUCUCUUGCUCAACUACAGACCACAACAGUUAAAACCAGAAAUAGACAAGACCACUUAACUCAUGCUCUAACUGAAACCCAUUGUGUUUAUUUCUCACCACACUUUCUUGAGGCAUUGAAGACGGUUUCCAACCACCACACCAGAAAAGCCCUGAUAGCAAUGGAAUGCCUAGAAGACUAUAUCCAUAAUAAUGGACUGAACACAUACUGAGCCCCACCCAUGAUCACUGAACUCUCUGCCUGACCUCUUGCCUGUCCCCCCACCCCAACCUCUUCUUAUAAUACUCUAGGUGUCCCUCUUGCCCGUAGAGUUGUUAAGGCUUGAGCCUGUCACAGCUGACGACACCGAAAAUAAAUUUCUUCCUUUCUCUUUUCCAAACCCUUGUCUCUUGAGUUAGUGGCUGCUCUUGUGAUGAGUGUAUCCAAGUUUUCUGGGCAGCAGUGUUGGCAAACCCAGCAGGGAGCUAUGAUUUCAAUUUGCCCAGCCUUCUGGGGAGUCCCCAGUGGAGCAGUUGGCCCCAGUAGCGUGCUGGGCUUCUCGAGCUUUCCUGAGUUAGAAGCUGUGAUAGCAAAGGGACAGUAGACAUAGCUAUGGUGACAAUGCAGCCAUGGGGCUGUUUUCUCACUAAACAUCGUUUGCCCAUACUAACCCCACAUUUUGAAAGUGUCCGUCUUCCAAACAAAUUUCUUUUAUCAUGUCAUAAACUAUUUACAUUUCCAUGUAUUUCAGUUAAAGAAUGCUAAAGAGAUCUUCUGAUCCGCAGAAAUGUCACUUGGGUCAUGGAUUGUUUCAUUUGAAGGCAAAGACUUUUUUUUUUUUUUUUUAGUUAAUGAGUACAACCUUA